CGUCCCUUAGUACAGGCGGGUAGAGGGGGCGGACUGCUUGUGUGUAGGCAGCAGGCAGGCUGGCGAGAGGUUUGUGCUCAGCAAGCGGCGCCUGAGAUGCGGGCAUGUGAUCAAAAAGCAAGUGGGAGAGAGGAAGAGGAGGAGGAAAGAGGGAGGGAGCCGGCUAUACUCUAGAUGAGCCAGGAGUUUGCAAGCUCCGAGGCGCUGCCGUAGGGCAGCCGGCGGGGAGGAAUGUGCCUCACAAAGGACGCGCGCGCGUUUGGCAGGCCGCCUGGGGCGGGAGUCGCCGCGUGUGUUGGGGUAGGAGAGGAGUUGCUCGUUUUCCCUCCCUCCUUAGGAAUCCCAAGCGGCGAAGGAGCGGCACCCGCAGUGUGAGGCUCCCCCUGGCUGUUUGGAGCGGGCUGCGUGAGAGAAGCGGCGGGGAGGGGGAAACGUCCAGAGAGCUGCAAAGAACAGCAGACACUUCAUCCUGCGGCACCAGCAGGAAGAGAGGCUGUGUGCGCGAGGGAGAGCCGAAGCCCAUGUGCGCAGUCUCAGAGAUUGCGGCUUACAACUUGAUAUCUUCCUUUGGCUGGAUGGAAGUGGAAGACUGCGAGAGAGCUUGAAUCGAGGGAGGGAAAAUCAGAUGGCAGUGUGAAAACCAAAGACAAACACUGGUAGAAGUUAUUUUUUGCUCUCUGUGAGAAAAUGAAGACAGUGUAUACAUGACUAGGCUCAGGAACUUGAGAAACCACAGGUAUGUAAAUUGAUUAAUCUAACUGCCUAUGCAAUAUUUUCUGUGUUCUGAAAAUUGGCCACUUUUAGGCAUGAUUUAACUUAAAACAUCAGAUGUAUUUGACCUGAACAAGUUUAAAAAACCAAAGGAUACAGAAAAGUAUAUAUAUAUAUAACAGUUUAGAAGAUGGGAGAAGGGACAGCUUGUAAGAUUUCUUGAAAGCAAUCCUCUAUAAAGAUUUUAAACCUUGUAACAUAAUGUUAAAUAAAUGUAAUGUUGUCUUCUGCUGUUGUUACUGCUGUCACUAACAAAAUUAUGUGUGUAUAUACGUGCUCUGUACAACCUUUAUUUCAAAUACAAGCAUGCUAAUUAAAGUUGGCAGCUUUCUCCUUGAGUGGUCUAGCACCACAAUCAGAAACACAUUUAUAUACUGAACCUCAGCCCACUUAAAAAGUAAGUUAAAUUAAAAUGAAUUGGAAUUAUAUGUCUGUAAACAUGUAUAGAGCAUCAGUGUAGUUAAAAAUGGAUUUAGCAUUACUGUGGGAUGAAUAGUAAAAUUAUUUUCCUGGCUGGUGAGAUAAAGAAAAUCAUAUGUUUUAAGAAAGUGAUAAGUACAAGAAACAUCUUUGCAUAAAUUACUCAAUUUCCAAUAGUGAACACAUCUUUUUGUCUUGCAGGAGACAGGUGGGGUCUCUGACCUCAUCUUGGGGCUCAUAGGCAUCCAUAGAGUCCUAAGGCAUCUCACUGCUUCUAUAUCCAUCUAAAAUUUAGUAUUGUAUCAAGAAUGAGCUUCCAUGCCUCUCCAGAUUCUGGAUAAAUUAGAGAGAGGGAGGGGAGACUCUCUCUUGAAAUCAUGCUGAGGUUUUGCAAUUCUUCUAAAACAUAUCAUGACAUCAGGAGCAAGCUCUUAUCCUUAUCUAGGCUCAGGGAAAGAGUAAGCACACUGACCUUUCACUGGGCUUUAGAGAUACUCGGAAAGCAAAAUGCUUCUUGAUUUUGAAUGCUUUCAAAACUCCAUGUGACAUCAGAGGUGAGAGCUUGCUUGUCUCCUGACCCAGGAGAGAACAGAUCUAGUGGCGCCCACAAAUUUUGGCCGUCUGUCAAGGUUAGCAAAAUUGAUGAACUGCUGAUCAUUGCUUCCAAAUUACUUUAGAUUAGUUAACAGUUUUGUUGGAUCUCACAUUUGAUACGCCAUGUUGCACAAGAAUGAAUACUGCAUGCCAACAAUAUACAUUGCAGAUGUCGCAGUAGACUCUUACAGUGGGAAUUACUGAUCAUUUUAAAGUAAAUUUUGAAAAUCAUUAAAAGUGUUUUGUUAUUGCAAUAGGAGCAAAAGAUUUACAAUUAGUUAGCAAUAUAACCUUAUUAGGAAAGCCAAUUUGAAUUAAAUAAAUAUUAAAUUUACUUAAAACAAUUUUUACUAAUCAUGUGUAAUCAUUAAAUUGCAAGAAAAGAGUUCAGUCUUAAAACUGUAGUGUUGGAAGCGUUCACUGAGUCCAACUUCUGUUCAGCACAGGAAUGAAAAUUAAAAGCAUCCCUAAAGAUGAGUACCUAACCUUCUUUUAAACACAUCUAGCAAAGCAGAGCCCAUUGCCACUUCAGGUAAUUGAUUUCACAGUCAAAUCUGCCUUCCUGUAACUUAAAUGCUUUAUAUGCCCUGCAUUUUGGAACAAUGGAGAACAAGUCUUGACCCACCUCUGUAUGACAUCAGUGUUUGAGGAGUGCAUUCACCCCUUCUUUCCAUUCCCUUUCCACUUCCCCCCCCCCACCUCUCUAAUAUUUCUCCAGGCUAAUCAUUUCAGUUUCUUCAGCCCUUUUUGCUACUCCCCUGAUUAUCUUGUUAUCCUUCUCCAAUGUGUUUCAAUUUACCUGAAUCCCUUUAAAAAUGUAAUACCAGAAUCUUAGCUAUGUAUUUGCCUUUCCCUAAUGCCCGUAUACAUAGUUCAUUACUAUCCGUCAAAAAUUCAGUCUCCUUGGAGACAGAAAAAAAAAUGGUGAGAAUAAGCAUUAUAUCCAAGCAUGUAAAUACUUGUAUCUCUAUCCUAAAUAUAAUUAUUUGAGUAAAUAUAAUUACUUGAGAGUAUUGAAAUCAGCACUUGGAAUUGGGGUGCUUGAAGAGGAACAAUUGUUAUAUAGAACUUCACUGCUUUGAACCAGAAAUUUAAAAUUUAUUGAAUUGUUUGUAUUCCUGGCAGUACACAUGUGAGUGAAUGUAUAAACUUAUAUGUAAAAAUGUAGCAGUAUGUACUCCUCUUACAGUAAGAAGUCAUAAAAUAUUAACGGUUAUGUCUAAUGUAAGAGAAGCAGUAGGAAGAAUGCUCUACUGAGGGUUCUUAUUACAGAGGCUUCGCUAUGCAACAAGUACCAUUACUGUACAUUAUGAUAAAUUGUCAUAAAUAAUUGAAAUAAACAUCACUUUCCAAAUG